GUAUUAUCUUCGUCAUUGAGCUCAGUCUCUGAAGUGCGUAAGUGUUGAAGACGCUCGUGCGGCUCACAAACCCUAAUUCAAAUCCCUAAUCCCCAAAACCAAUAGCAUUGGGUGUGGCUAUUGCUGUUGCUGCAAUCUGCAAAGGCACCAACCAUGUCUCACUUCGGAAGGUCAGGUCCACCAGACAUUAGCGACACAUACUCCCUUCUCGUUCUCAACAUCACCUUCCGUACAACCGCCGACGACCUCUUCCCUCUCUUUCACAAGUACGGCGACGUCGUCGACAUUUUCAUUCCCAAGGACCGCCGCACCGGCGACUCCAGGGGCUUCGCAUUUGUUCGCUACAAGUAUGCCGACGAGGCUCAAAAGGCUGUCGAGCGCCUCGACGGCAGGGUCGUCGACGGCCGCGAAAUCACCGUCCAGUUCGCCAAGUACGGUCCCAACGCCGAGCGCAUCCACAAAGGUAGGAUUGUCGAAUCUGCUCCCAGAUCUAAGCGCAGCCGCAGUCCCAGGAGAAGGUAUCGUGAUGAUGAUUACAGAGAGAAGGAUUAUAGGAGGAGGAGUCGCAGCAGGAGUUACGAUAGGUAUGAGCGUGACAGGCACCGUGGCAGGGACAGGGAUUAUCGUCGCCGGAGCCGGAGUCGUAGUGCCAGUCCGGACAAGGGUCGUGGAAGGGGACGCUAUGAUGAUGAUGACCGCCCUAUCCGUAGUAUAAGCCGUAGCCGGAGUCGGAGCCGGAGCCGGAGCGUAGAUAGCCGCUCUCCUGCUAGGCGCAGCCCCAGUCCUCAAAGGAGUCCAUCCCCUAGGACAAGUGCUUCCCCAAGGAAGAAGAGCCCUAGGGGUGAAAGCCCUAGGACUCGCAAUGGACACUCCCCUACACCUGUCUCGCCACGUGGUCGUCCUGAUGCUUCCCGUAGUCCAUCACCUAGAAAUUCUGAUGGUGAUGCAUGAGCUAUGUUUCUUGAAAAUUCGGGAGACACCUUGAGUAAUGCAGAUAUGGCUAUUUUGCUUAUGUUGGAUGUUUUGAUCAUUGUGAACGGUCUUGUUGGAGUCAAGAAUUUUAAGAACUAUGUGCUGGUUUGCUAUGAUCGGGAAAAGUGAAAUGGACUGAUAGUGUCAUGUUGAGAUUGCUGCCGUUGAUGCUAAUUCUGUGUUGUUGAUGAUUGACCGUGAAGUUGGUGCUGGUUGCAAGAAAAUGCUGGUUUUAGAACUAUGAUUGUUGGUUUGAGAGAUUUAGCUGAUUUGGUUUACACCUGAAUAAUAUGAUUAUUGUUAGGUAUGUUAUAUAUAAGCACGCACGUGGCCGAAGUGACGUGGUAGCUGAUACAUCUUAUGUAUGAUAUGCUUUUGUUCGUGAAUAAUAUGAAGAAUUAAUCAAUAGCUGCUGCUUGUGGCUGGCUGUUGCUGCCUUUUUUGGGUUGGUCGGUUUGGCAGUGGUAUUAUCACUUGGCACUGAACAUGGCUAUCUAGCUUUGCUACUUCAAAGAUACUUAACACAUGUUUUUACUGUUAAUAGUUUAUGAAGCAGCAUUCUCAUCUAUUCUCUUAUGUCAUCUGAAGAUACAUAAAUUUGUCAAUUAGGAAAUCGUGGCGCCAUAUGUGAUCACAAUUACUGUUCUUUAAUGAUUAAUGUGUCAUAGGAUAGUGCAUGAACCGUCCAUCCCCCUUGUUUGAUAUCCUUAUGAUAUUUUAGUAACUAAUUUAGUAAAACUUAUGCUGGCAUUGUCGUAAGCCUAAAGAUUUUAUUGGUAUGAAUUAAAUAGAUGGCAGUGACUGGUUCUCCAACAUAUUCAUUCUUAGACUUUGAUAUUGGAGUUAAGUGAUUUAAUGCGUUGAUAU